CCUACGGGAGGCAGCAGUAGGGAAUCUUCCGCAAAAAAAGAAAAGUCUGACGGAGCGACGCCGCGUGAGCGAAGAAGGUCUUCGGAUCGUAACGCUCUGUUGUUAGGGAAGAAGAAGUACCGUUCGAAUAGGGCGGUACGGUGACGGUACCUAACGAGAAAGCCCCGGCUAACUACGUGCCAGCAGCCGCGGUAAUACGUAGGGGGCGAGCGUUGUCCGGAAUUAUUGGGCGUAAAGCGCGCGCAGGCGGUCCCUUAAGUCUGAUGUGAAAGCCCACGGCUCAACCGUGGAGGGCCAUUGGAAACUGGGGGACUUGAGUGCAGAAGAGGAGAGCGGAAUUCCACGUGUAGCGGUGAAAUGCGUAGAGAUGUGGAGGAACACCAGUGGCGAAGGCGGCUCUCUGGUCUGUAACUGACGCUGAGGCGCGAAAGCGUGGGGAGCAAACAGGAUUAGAUACCCUGGUAGUCCACGCCGUAAACGAUGAGUGCUAAGUGUUAGAGGGUCCAACCCUUUAGUGCUGUAGCUAACGCGUUAAGCACUUCCGCCUGGGGGAUUACCGGCCCGCAAGGGC
rnacentral:rRNA from 1 species